GUGUCAGCCGCCGCGGUAAGACGAACCGUGCGAACGUUAUUCGGAAUCACUGGGCUUAAAGCGCGUGUAGGUGGCUUGAUACGUCUGUCGUUGAAAUCCCCCGGCUCAACCGGGGAACUGGCGCGGAUACGGUCAGGCUUGAGGGGGGUAGGGGGAUCGGGAACUUCCGGUGGAGCGGUGAAAUGCGUUGAGAUCGGAAGGAACGCCCGUGGCGAAAGCGCGGUCCUGGACCUUUCCUGACACUGAGACGCGAAAGCUAGGGGAGCAAACGGGAUUAGAUACCCGCGUAGUCC
rnacentral:rRNA from 1 species